AUCCCGGAUUGACUACCUUAGCUGUUCUUCCGAUUCAUGGGAGGCCAAGAUCGAUGUUUUAUGGGAGUUUCGCUGAUAGCGCCUUCCCCAUCUUUGGAGGUGCUUCAUUAGUAACUCACCACACAAAA